CCUACGGGAGGCUGCAGUGAGGAAUAUUGGUCAAUGGACGAGAGUCUGAACCAGCCAAGUAGCGUGAAGGAUGACUGCCCUAUGGGUUGUAAACUUCUUUUAUCUGGGAAUAAAAUGUUCCACGUGUGGGAUUUUGUAUGUACCAUAUGAAUAAGGAUCGGCUAACUCCGUGCCAGCAGCCGCGGUAAUACGGAGGAUCCGAGCGUUAUCCGGAUUUAUUGGGUUUAAAGGGUGCGUAGGUGGAUUGUUAAGUCAGUUGUGAAAGUUUGCGGCUCAACCGUAAAAUUGCAGUUGAAACUGGCAGUCUUGAGUACAGUAGAGGUGGGCGGAAUUCGUGGUGUAGCGGUGAAAUGCUUAGAUAUCACGAAGAACUCCGAUUGCGAAGGCAGUUCACUGGACUGCAACUGACACUGAGGCUCGAAAGUGUGGGUAUCAAACAGGAUUAGAUACCCUAGUAGUC
rnacentral:rRNA from 1 species